rnacentral:rRNA from 1 species
CCUGCGGAAGGAUCAUUACCGAGUGCGGGCCCUCGUGGCCCAACCUCCCACCCUUGUCUCUCUACACCUGUUGCUUUGGCGGGCCCACUGGGGCUCCCUGGUCGCCGGGGGACGCCUGUCCCCGGGCCCGCGCCCGCCGAAGCGCUUCGUGAACCCUGAUGAAGAAGGGCUGUCUGAGUACUAUGAAAAUUGUCAAAACUUUCAACAAUGGAUCUCUUGGUUCCGGCAUCGAUGAAGAACGCAGCGAAAUGCGAUAAGUAAUGUGAAUUGCAGAAUUCCGUGAAUCAUCGAAUCUUUGAACGCACAUUGCGCCCCCUGGCAUUCCGGGGGGCAUGCCUGUCCGAGCGUCAUUUCUGCCCUCAAGCACGGCUUGUGUGUUGGGUGUGGUCCCCCCGGGGACCUGCCCGAAAGGCAGCGGCGACGUCCGUCUGGUCCUCGAGCGUAUGGGGCUCUGUCACUCGCUCGGGAAGGACCUGCGGGGGUUGGUCACCACCACAUUUUCCAUUAUGGUUGACCUCGGAUCAGGUAGGAGUUACCCGCUGAACUUAAGCAUAUCAAUAAGCGGAGGAA